ensembl:lncRNA
GGGAGAGGGAGAGAGAGGGAGGGAGGGAGGGAGAGGGAGGGAGAGAGGGAGAGACGGAGGGGGAGAGGGGGAGAGGGAGAGAGACGGCAAGCAUAUCAGGGUGUAGGUGUUCACUUCCUGGUUGUGCCACAGGUGCUGGUCCCCAUUGGGUCCGCUUACGUGUUACCAUGGUAACCUAACGGGUGUCACGUCUGCAGUGGACGAGAGCAAGCAAGGCUGUCCCCCCCUGUCCGCCGAUGUGGGAACGACUCAAACUCGCUACUCGCUUAUGGAUUGGCUGUUGAAGAUAAAUGACGGAUGGAUACCAAGACAACAGGCACAAUUAAUGUUGUCGUCUAUCUCUAGUCUCCUCCCUUCUUGUUUAGUUGUUGUUUGACAAAUUCCUCCCUUGGACCACCUUAUCCGUCUUCUUUUAAUGCUGAAGAUAUCCUUUAAAAUGUUUAGCCUUCGAUACUUUCAUUUCAGACUUACCCGUUGUCUUGGUAUUUGUGAUCGUGAUCUCCGAUGUGAUCUCAGAAACCAAACUCUGUGACUUUGUGUGAUGAGGAAUUUAGUAGAACUCAAGCCCCUUGCAGUCACAUGGAAAGCUUGUUAUUUUCGGCAGUGUUUCUUUUUUUAUUGUUUAUCUUUGUUACUUUUUCUCUCAAAAGAUGCUGCACUUGGUCUCGAUAACUAACUGUGUUGGCACCGUUCCUCCUCUCAUAUUCACAUUCUGGUCCAUUCCCACAACAAUUUAUCACUUCAGGUGUUCCCUUUUUUGCCCACAUGAUUUUUCAUCACUAAAUUAUUUAUCCACUGCAUUUUCUACAUAUCUUGGUUAUUCAUUUCAAUGCAUCCCUCCAUGACAUACUUUAUCUACCCAUCCACACACUAGACUUGCAAACAUACAUAUCCAUAGAUCCUUCAACAUACAUCCACAUGCAUACAUAUUAGUAACUAGUAUUCUAUAAUUCAUUGCGAGAUUGCUCAACUAAAGGUCUGUAUUCAAUUUACUCCAGGAUUGGAUUUAUGGAUUUCUUACAAAAACUAUACCUAAAUAUGCACCACAUUACAAAUGUAUUCAAUUUUACAAGAUUAUUCCAACCAUACAACAAGGUCUAUCUAGAUAGUAUUUAAUUAUUAACAAUUCUGUUACGUUUUGAGUUCAGUGCAAUACAUUUCCUGAUAAUGUUGAAAAUAUAUGUGAGUUAUGUCACAUGUCCGUUCUCUGAAUGGAGAAUUCUUAUCUAUAUUUAAUUUUCCCACCACUAACUUCCGGAUAAUAAAAAGAAAGAAAACGAUUGAUUGGACUGUUAAGGUGUUGAGUCAAUGCAUAAUUAAGGCCGCUCACUGUUAAAUUAGGAUCGCAAUUGAACCCGUUUCACAUAAAGAUUAACACUUUUAGGAUACUACAUCAUCAGAUCACUUAUACGAAUAUUAAUAUAUGACAGUUAUUUCCCAAUACUAAGACUAAAAUAAAUCAGAUGGUGUAGGGAGAUAUAGUAAUUGGGAUGGCUAAAUAGGGUUGUGAAUUAAUAAAACUGGUGUUCAACUGGCAUGAUAUUUAUCACUUCUGAUGCCAACAUUGAUAAGUGAUAUCUUGAAAUAUCCCUACAUAUAUUGAUUAAAUAUGACUUAGGAUAGAUUCAUGACUUUGCACUUUCAUGUGGACCAAUAGACCAUAUUUUGAAAUCCUCUUUAGUCAAAUGUUAUAUGAUGGUCACAGUUGGAAUGAAUCUUAGGGGUAGAACAGAAGCCCUUACCAUCUGCCUUGGCGUGCCAUGUAAUCAAAUCCCUAGUGUCUAGUCUUUUAAAGCUACUGCUAUACGCCUUUAUCCACACACAUACAAUGAGGUGUGUUCCUACGGCAAAGAAAAUCCCCUUUAAAUAAAAAAGAUUCACAAGACGCCCUUAUCAUACCGCAAACCAAAGACUUCACUGUGGAGUAAAAGGUUUUAACAUUUGCCCUGUUGUGAGUAAUGAAGGACAUUUCCGCUAAACCACGAUGCACAAUUUGAUCAGAAUGGUCAGUUUGAAAGCAUGGCUCACCUUUUCACUUAAGAUUUAAAUAUCCAUGUAUUUUUCUCUGAAAUAUACACACUAUUUUACACAUACUAGAAUAUUGCAUGAACAUCUGAAUUUGAGAUAAGGAAUAUAGAUAUUUAUUUAUAUAAUUAUAGAAAAAUCUAUAAAAUAUUACUAUGUAAAGAGAGGGUCCCUGGCAAAAAAUCAAUAUUGAAGUAUGUCUAGCUAAAGAGUCUAUCAGAUAUAUUAUAUUUUGAGGUGAACAGAAAUGCAGAUUCAUGUAGAUAUCAUUUAUAUGAUAACAUUAACAUAGUGUGUCAGAGUGCCUGAGUGUGUGUCUGUGUGCGUGUGUGUGUUUAGAAUAAGCCUACCUUGAUUCUCGAGGCAGUCACAACCCAACAUUAUUGGUAACCCAAGCCUAUAUUCUUAUUCGGUUACAGUUCGGUCGGCUAGCUUGAACUUUGCCUCAGGAUGUAGGAGAAGUCCCACUUCCUCGUUCGUGGAGAAUUGUGAGUUGACCACAGCCCUUGAAAAUGAGCAAUGCAAUCUUUAUCCGAAUGGGAAUACCUUUCAACACAUCGUAGUGUCAUAUGCACACACACAAACGCAGUGUGCCCCACUAAUGUGAUCUGUUACCAUAAAAAUAGGACAAUAACACAAUCCUGACCGACGCCUCCAUGGACUGAAUGGCCAUUAUUCAUUGAAAGGUUCAUCCUCACUGCGGUUGUCAUUCGCACCGUCAUCAAUGUCACAUCUCAUCUUGUGCUGCUGAACUUGAAGUAGGUACAAAAGAAUAAACACGUUUUUGUACAGAAAUCUAUUUUUUAUGGGAGUUUGUAAAAAAAAAGAAAAGAGAAACAACUUAUUAAACAUGCUGUACUUUUUACGAUAAAUGAUGUAGGUAAGACAAAAUGUUCUUGAACAUGAGAAAAAAAUCAAUGUUUUUACUAUUACACACAAUGUAAAAAUAUAUGGUUUAAACUGAGUAUCAAAUAUCGACUUCUGUCUUAUGAGUUCUCUGUCCAACAUGGCUGCCUUUCCACAGGAAACAGAAGGACUCUUCCUGCUGGAGGUUUCACAAAGGGAAACCCAUCAAGCUAGCAAUGUAGAGUUAAAAAUGUAAUACCACUCCAGUCCUUAAAAGAGAUGCGUCAUUUACAGCACAAUAAAUCCACAAGUUAGUUUUCUGUUGAGAUAUGUGCUAGAUAUAUUGCACACUGAGAUUUCUGUAGGCCUAUGAAUUUCCAUGGACGUUUCAUCCUUUGUUUCUUCAUGUCUGGACAGGAAUUGAAAUGUUUGAAAUUGUUAGUUUUAUUUAUUGUUUCUAACAUUAUUUUCUAACAUUUCCCACAUACUACUAGGGAACAUUUUAUUUGUGUCCGUUGCAAUGUGUUGGAGAUGAAACAUCUUUUUAAAGACUGCUCCUGUGUGAGAACAUUGCAGAGCUGAAUGUUUGUCUUCUGGGAGCAUAGCACGGUAAAUUGGUUGUCUUUACAAGGGCACAAAGGAUUCUAGAUGAUUCUACUCCAAAAUCGGAUUCCUCUGUAGCCUUUAAAACAAACGGAAAACCGGUUCUGUGACAUUCUCCAAGUAACAGAGUGGGGUUAUGAAAUUAGAAAAUAGUUUUUAUUCCUAGUUUUUUUAACUUAACUGCUGUACAGCUCAAGAACUGUAUCUCAAAAGUUUAUUUUUUUUAUCAUUUGCCCCAGGAAAAUAUAAUCCAAUGGCUGGUAAAUUAUCGAUGAGGAUAGCAUUUUCAAUGAGAAACCAAACAGGAUUAUUUUAUUUCUAAACUCAUAUCUAUACAUGUGGGGAGGGGGCCUACAUCAGAUAUUGUAUAUGAAUGCAGCCUUUAAACUUGCUGUUAAAGAGACUCUGUCACACUUUAUCUAUCAGC